GACGAACGCUGGCGGCGUGCCUAAUACAUGCAAGUAGAACGCUGAAGGAGGAGCUUGCUUCUCUGGAUGAGUUGCGAACGGGUGAGUAACGCGUAGGUAACCUGCCUGGUAGCGGGGGAUAACUAUUGGAAACGAUAGCUAAUACCGCAUAAUAGUAGAUGUUGCAUGACAUUUGCUUAAAAGGUGCAAUUGCAUCACUACCAGAUGGACCUGCGUUGUAUUAGCUAGUUGGUGAGGUAACGGCUCACCAAGGCAACGAUACAUAGCCGACCUGAGAGGGUGAUCGGCCACACUGGGACUGAGACACGGCCCAGACUCCUACGGGAGGCAGCAGUAGGGAAUCUUCGGCAAUGGACGGAAGUCUGACCGAGCAACGCCGCGUGAGUGAAGAAGGUUUUCGGAUCGUAAAGCUCUGUUGUGAGAGAAGAACGAGUGUGAGAGUGGAAAGUUCACACUGUGACGGUAUCUUACCAGAAAGGGACGGCUAACUACGUG
rnacentral:rRNA from 1 species